rnacentral:misc_RNA from 1 species
GAACUGCGAAACGUGAUGUGACCUGCACUCUUCGUGAAUCAUCCAAUCUUUGAACGCAAUUUGCACCUUGUGGCUUUUGUCACAAGGUAUACUUGUUUGAGUAUCCGAAACCAACUCACCUCCCCCUCGGGGCGAGGUGGACUUGAGAUUCGAUGGGUGGCUGCUGCUGCCAAAGUCGUUUCUUUAAAUGUGCUUGGUCGCUUUGUGGAAGGUCUCCGUCUGGAGCCUGACAGACUAUUGGGAUAACAUCCUGACGAUCGUCUGUGGGUUCCUUUAUUGGACGUUGACUGACCUUGACCAACCAAGGAAGAUCUCGCCUUCUUUUAUUAGGAGGAGGGUGACUCCAUACAUGUGUAUGUGUGUGUAUCUAUACAUUAUAUGUGUGUGUCAAUGGAUCUCA